rnacentral:rRNA from 1 species
UACGAAGGGGGCUAGCGUUGUUCGGAAUUACUGGGCGUAAAGCGCACGUAGGCGGAUUGUUAAGUUAGGGGUGAAAUCCCAGGGCUCAACCCUGGAACUGCCUUCUAAACUGCAAGCCUGGAGGUCAGGAGAGGCGAGUGGAAUACCGAGUGUAGAGGUGAAAUUCGUAGAUAUUCGGUGGAACACCAGUGGCGAAGGCGACUCGCUGGACUGAUACUGACGCUGAGGUGCGAAAGCGUGGGGAGCAAACAGG